rnacentral:misc_RNA from 1 species
GGACCAUUUUGGGAACUGUCAUAGGUAUAUGAUUUGCUUAAUGGCUGAUUUUUCACUUGUUCUAUUUCUAUGUGCCCAAGCUUGGGUAAUAUUCAUCAUUAUAAUGACUUAAUUGCAUGUCCUGCUUGUCAUAUCCAUUAUUUUAACCAUGUUUGAGUGAACCAAAUGUUACAAAAGAUAAUAAUGCAUGUAAGAUUAUUUCCAGUUUCUUUCAGUGUGGUUGUAAUAUGCACCUUUGUGACAAGAAGAUAAUAUUGAUGUAUAAAGCAAAUCGUCAUGCUUUGACUUUCAGCUUUAAGUAACGGUUUGAUUUGGACUCUGGGAAUAUACAUUCUGGAUGGGGAGAAAACAUGGGAGAAUUUCUGUAGGCAUUAUCAAAGAUAUUUGAUUUGAAUGCAUGUAUAGUGGUAGGGUUUGGCAAUUGGAUCAAUAGCCAAUCUUAGGUAUUAAAUAUUGAGUUUUUCUUUUUCUUCUUCUUUUACUUUUUCCUCUUCAGCAUAAAAAUGACUUUAGUACGUAGCAAUUUUGAUAUGUUGCUGAUGUGCCUAACUAGUUAGAAGUUACUUUUCCA